rnacentral:rRNA from 1 species
GACGUAGGGCGCGAGCGUUGUCCGGAUUUAUUGGGCGUAAAGAGCUCGUAGGCGGUCUGUCGCGUCGGUUGUGAAAACCCGGGGCUCAACCCCGGGCCUGCAGUCGAUACGGGCAGACUAGAGUGCGGUAGGGGAGACUGGAAUUCCUGGUGUAGCGGUGAAAUGCGCAGAUAUCAGGAGGAACACCGGUGGCGAAGGCGGGUCUCUGGGCCGUAACUGACGCUGAGGAGCGAAAGCGUGGGGAGCGAACAGG